UGUGCGGGCGGGACCUGGUUAAUGCAGCUCUGGCCAGCACGGGUAGGUCACUGAGUUAAGGAAGCUCCAAAAGGCAAAGUGCACUGAGAAUAUCAGAGUUGCUGUCGUGCCAGGAAGUGCCAUCAGCAGGCAUUUUCCUCCAAGCAGAGGGACGGACAAGAAGGAGAGGUCUCCCUGAAGCCCUGAAACUGGCCCAGUUCCUUUGGUUGCCAUCGUCUGGGAUGUCACAGACAUCUGGGCUUGCAUCUUUCUGCGUGACUACCCUAAUCCAGUUUCCAUUUAGCAGCUUCUUGUGCUUUUGCCGUGUCCUCCCAACCAGUCUCUUCAGACAUGUAAGCAGGGCUCGGCAGGGACAGCUCAUGUCUGCUCCCCUUGCUGUGGCAGGACAUCUCCAAGGCUGGAAGCUGGAAUCUUCUGAAGACUUACUUACUCACUCACUUACUCUCUAGUGAAUGCUGCUGGCUAAUUGGCUGAGUCCUUAGCUUGGGUUGUCAGUCGAAAGACUUCCUCACAGCAUGGUAGCUGUAUUAAGUUUUCUGUCACUGCUUCAACAAAUUAAAACAAACUUGGCGGUUAACACAACACAAAUGUAUUGUCUUGUAGUUCUAUAAGCCAAAGGUCCAAUAGAGAACUCACUGGACUAAAAUCAAGGUUUUUCAG
rnacentral:lncRNA from 12 species